UACGUAGGGCGCAAGCGUUGUCCGGAAUUAUUGGGCGUAAAGAGCUCGUAGGCGGUCUGUUACGUCUGCUGUGAAAACCCGGGGCUCAACUCCGAGCUUGCAGUGGGUACGGGCAGACUAGAGUGCGGUAGGGGAGACUGGAAUUCCUGGUGUAGCGGUGGAAUGCGCAGAUAUCAGGAGGAACACCGGUGGCGAAGGCGGGUCUCUGGGCCGUAACUGGACGCUGAGGAGCGAAAGCAUGGGGAGCGAACAGG
rnacentral:rRNA from 1 species